GUGAGGAAUUUUCCGCAAUGGGCGAAAGCCUGACGGAGCAAUGCCGCGUGAAGGAUGAAGGCCUAUGGGUUGUAAACUUCUUUUCUCAGAAAAGAAUUAUGACGGUAUCUGAGGAAUAAGCAUCGGCUAACUCUGUGCCAGCAGCCGCGGUAAGACAGAGGAUGCAAGCGUUAUCCGGAAUGAUUGGGCGUAAAGCGUCUGUAGGUUGUUUAAAAAGUAUUCUGUCAAAGAUUAGGGCUUAACCCUAGAUAGGCAGAAUAAACUUUUAAGCUAGAGUUUGGUAGAGGCAGAGGGAAUUCCCGGUGGAGCGGUGAAAUGCGUAGAUAUCGGGAGGAACACCAAAGGCGAAGGCACUCUGCUGGGCCAAUACUAACACCGAGAGACGAAAGCGAGGGGAGCAAAUGGGAUUAGAUACCCUGGUAGUCC
rnacentral:rRNA from 1 species